rnacentral:piRNA from 1 species
UGAACUGGGGUAGACAGUAGGAAGGCCU